UAUUCUCAAUCCAUCUGGUUCUGUCACCGGAAUUAUGGUGGACUUGGAUGUGGAGGUUUUUGCUGGUCUUUGAUGAUCAGCUCCUCUGAAAUGCAUCAGCAUAAACACUUUGCUGCUCUCAGUGUGAUAAUUAUCUGCACUGUGGUAAAGCUCUUGAGUUAUUGCUUCUAAUUGUCUGUUUGCUCAGACAACUUUCAUUGAC
rnacentral:misc_RNA from 1 species